CCUACGGGUGGCAGCAGUGGGGAAUAUUGGACAAUGGGGGCAACCCUGAUCCAGCCAUGCCGCGUGUGUGAAGAAGGCCCUCGGGUUGUAAAGCACUUUCAGUGAGGAAGAACGCCUGGUGGUUAAUACCCAUCAGGAAAGACAUCACUCACAGAAGAAGCACCGGCUAACUCCGUGCCAGCAGCCGCGGUAAUACGGAGGGUGCGAGCGUUAAUCGGAAUUACUGGGCGUAAAGCGCGCGUAGGUGGCUUGAUAAGCCGGUUGUGAAAGCCCCGGGCUCAACCUGGGAACGGCAUCCGGAACUGUCAAGCUAGAGUGCAGGAGAGGAAGGUAGAAUUCCCGGUGUAGCGGUGAAAUGCGUAGAGAUCGGGAGGAAUACCAGUGGCGAAGGCGGCCUUCUGGACUGACACUGACACUGAGGUGCGAAAGCGUGGGUAGCUAACAGGAUUAGAUACCCCUGUAGUC
rnacentral:rRNA from 1 species